AUAUCCAUGUAGCAGGGGCGAUACCGUGAUGACAAAGGUGGUUUUCCCAGGGCAAGUCUCACACCAAUGUGUGCUGACCCCUGUGAUUUCCCCAAAUGUGGGAAACUCAGCUGCGUAAUUUGUGGUACUGGGGGACUGUGUUCACACUCUCCCCUA